AUGUGGAGGCUCCCAGGCGCCCGCGCCGCGCUUCGGGUGAGCCGGACGGCGGUGGAGAAGCUGAGCCGGGCUGAAGCGGAGAGCCAGACAGCGGCGGGAGCGAUGGAGCGCGCUGUACUGCGCUGUGUACCCUCGGAACCCAAGCUGAGCCUGUCAUUCGCUUUGGCUGAUGGUAGCCACAAGAACAUGCAGCGCGACCAGAUCGAGCCGCUGGGUCGAGUCCUCAGCCGCAUCGCUACCAAUGCCCUAAAGGGUCACGCUAAGGCGGCCGCCGCCAAGAAGAGCAGGAAGAGCCGGCCGAAUGCGAGCGGCGGUGCGGCCUGUUCAGGGCCGGGACCCGAGCCAGCUGUGGCCUGCGAGCCCGUGGUGAAGCUGUACUACCGGGAAGAGGCAGUGGCUGAGGACGUGCUCAACGUGGAUGCCUGGCAAGAAGGCGCGGUGAUGUUAAGUACAAGGUGGAGCGCAACCCGCCCGCCUUCACCGAACUGCAGUUGCCGCGCUACAUCAUGGCCGGGUUCCCUGUGUGCCCCAAACUCAGCCUCGAAUUUGGGGAUCCCGCCAGCUCCCUUUUCCGCUGGUAUAAGGAAGCCAAGCCCGGAGCCGCGGAGCCCGAGGUCGGUGUCCCCUCGUCAUUGUCUCCCUCCUCACCUUCUUCUUCUUGGAUUGAGACUGAUGUGGAGGAGCGCGUCUACACCCCGUCCAAUGCGGACAUCGGGCUAAGGCUCAAGCUUCAUUGCACCCCAGGCGAUGGGCAGCGCUUUGGGCCCAGCUGGGAGUUGGAAAGUGUAUGUGUGAUAGAGGCUGGGCCUGGCACCUGCACUUUUGACCACCGGCAUCUCUACACGAAGAAGGUGACGGAGGACGCUCUCAUCCGCACUGUCUCUCACAACAUCCUGGCAGACACGUACGCGCAGACUGAGUUCUCGCGAAGGGUUCUGUACCCAUACUGCGCCCCCUACGCCCUGGAGCUCGACUACCGCCAGAACCUUAUCCAGAACCUUAUCCAGAAGGAACUCACCGGCUACAACGCCGAUGUCAUCUGUUUGCAGGAGGUUGACUGCGCAGUGUUUUCUGACAGCCUGGUACCCGCCUUAGAGGCCUUCGGGCUCGAGGGGGUGUUUCGAAUCAAGCAGCACGAAGGCCUGGCCACUUUCUACCGAAAGUCUAAGUUCAGCCUUCUUAGCCAGCAUGAUAUUUCAUUCUACGAAGCCCUCGAGUCCGACCCACUUCACAAAGAACUGCUGGAGAAACUAGUUUUGUACCCAUCAGCGCAGGAGAAGGUGCUCCAGAGAUCUUCUGUUCAGGUUUCAGUUCUUCAGUCUACAAAGGACUCUUCUAAAAGGAUAUGUGUUGCUAAUACCCAUCUUUACUGGCAUCCUAAAGGUGGGUAUAUUCGCCUCAUUCAAAUGGCAGUAGCCUUGGCUCACAUUAGACAUGUUUCAUGUGAUCUGUAUCCUGGCAUACCAGUUAUAUUUUGUGGGGACUUUAAUAGUACACCAUCAACAGGAAUGUAUCAUUUUGUCAUCAAUGGCAGCAUUCCAGAGGAUCAUGAAGACUGGGCUUCCAAUGGGGAGGAGGAAAGAUGCAACAUGUCUCUUACGCAUUUCUUCAAUCUGAAAAGUGCUUGUGGUGAACCUGCUUACACAAAUUAUGUUGGUGGCUUUCAUGGAUGUCUAGAUUACAUUUUCAUUGACUUAAAUGCUUUAGAGGUUGAACAGGUGAUUCCAUUACCUAGUCACGAAGAAGUUACCACCCGCCAGGCCUUACCUAGUGUUUCCCAUCCCUCUGAUCACAUAGCACUUGUAUGUGAUUUAAAAUGGAAAUAGAUGUGUGUUUAAUGGAAUUGAAGUCUGAAAAGGAAGUAGUUGUUUUAGCAGAAAAUUUAAUAUGAAUCAAAGCUUAUAUGUAACCUUCAAAGAGGAAUGGUAAAAUGUUCAACCCUCAUAGUUAUGUUACCAGUCUUCGUUAUGAAACUGUUGAUAAUGUUUGCAUCAUACAUCUUCUCUUUCCUUGUUUUCCUCUACAAUUGGAGGAGAAACAAAUAUAUUUAUUACUAUCAAAAUAGAAAAUUGAAUAAUUUUUCUCCAACUUGAGACUCUCAGAAAAGGAAGAUUGAAUUAUCAUGUUUUUUGUUUGUUUGUUUUUGUUUUUGUUUUUUUUUUUGAGAUGGAGUUUCACUCUUGUUGCCCAAGCUGGAGUGCAAUGGCACAAUCUCGGCUCACUGCAACCUCUGCCCCCUGGGUUUAAGCCAUUCUCCUGCCUUAGCCUCCCAAGUAGCUGAGAUUACAGGCAUGCGCCACCACACCUGGCUAAUUUUUGUGUUUUUAGUAGACAUGGGGUUUCGCCAUGUUGGCCAGGCUGGUGUCGAACUCCUGACCUCAGGUGAUCCACCCGCCUCGGCCUCCCAAAGUAUUAGGAUUACAGGCGUGAGCCACCACGCCUGGCCCUUGUGUACAUUUUUAUAAGAGAAUUUUUUUAGCUAGUAGUUCAGAAUUUUUAAAGUACCAUUUGAAUUAUCUUAAUUUUUCUUUCAUGACAACACAUUCCAAAAUGAAUCAUGCUUAUGUACUAAGAGGGAAAAUGUAUAUAAGUUAAGGGUGAGAGACUUAAGUUAUAGGUGACCUUAGAGACCUAAGGUGAGAGACUUGACACAUGGAAGGAGUAACAUUAGGGUCUACCUCUACCUCAAUUUAGUUAGCGAUUUACUACAAUUUCAGAGCUUUAACAAAAGAUAAAAAUAAAUCGUCACCAAUUGUUA